AUGGCCCUGAAUGAAGGCCAGCAGUUAGUUACACUAUAGCUAAUGGCUUCAAGAGAGGUCUAAAGAACUGCCUUCCUGUGGUUUAUUGGCUAUUCUAAACAAUUAAAAGAGAAUAACAGCUGUAUUUGAAAGAAACAACU